UUGUUCUGAGGAUACAGGAAACUGGGAGGUGAUAGGAGCUGAGAGAACUGAAGUGUACUUAUUUGUACAAAAUUCAUGCAGUGGCUGCGUCAGGGAGGCUUCAGGAAAAUAUGCCUGAUACUGGAGGUCCUGGAAGAUUCUUGGAAGUUGGUCUUAGUGUAGAAUGGAGGAGGCAAUUAUCUGAGACAAAGCCUGGAACAUUGAAAGCAUAGUAGGAAUUGUGAGGUUGUGAGAUGUGGGACAAACUCCAAAACAGUGGGACAUGAGGAAAGAGGAAGGAGGAGUACUGUGAGAUACUGCAAACUCAGAAAUACAUGAAGAUGAGGACGUAGCUGUACAACAGCCCAAAGCAGAACAAUUUGGGAUCACUGAAAAAGGAGAAUGAAGAGAUGGGAAGAAUUGCAGUGAAAGAGGAACACAAAUUAUUAUGUCUCAGGUUGGCUUCGAACCCACUGUCGUCUAUAACCCUAUCAGCUUUGAUGGGAAUCAAGUUGGCUGGACAGAACUUCAGUCAUAAUGGCAACAGCUUCGAGACACCAGUCGUCUAUGACUCCUGAAUAUUUUCCAUCUGAUUUCAAUCUAUAAUCCUAAAUCUACCCUGAUGAUGAAGAAUUUCGCUUAGAAAUGCAGAGAUCC
rnacentral:lncRNA from 1 species